UCCAUCCUCAUCCUCACUCUUAUCGAUAUCAUCAUUGCCACCUGUGCUGCAACUUCUGAUAUUGGUUAGGAGUGUGGCUGUGAUGUUUAAUUUUAGAAGUUCAUCUAGCAUGGAAAACCACCCUGCUGGUGGAGCUGUCUGGAAGGCCUGACAGAUAUCUCACUGGUGUAACUGGGUUGGCACUUGGCAGCCACGGCGGUCUUCUCUACUAUGCAUACUCAUAACUAGGAGUGGCAUUUAGAAAGUGCAUAAAGAGCAGCAGCAGAACAUACCUUAACGGCUUAACAGGUGUUUUUAAGCCUUCCCUUUUCUGUUUUACUGGAAACAAACGUGAUGGACAACAUUGUCGCCCCGCCCACUUCAUGCUCUUGCACUGUUACACCAUCGCUGAAACACCAUGACAAGAGUGCCUAACAAGAAUGAGAACUUGCUUGAUGUGCCAUUACAAUUUGGUGUUGUAUUGCAGAUGUCAUCUUUUAGUGUCAACUUGUGAUUCCAUUGCAUCCCUCUGAUUGGAUUCAAGAGCUAGCAGCAGGUGGAGUGUUUUGUUGUUGUUCUUGUUGUAAAAUCACUAUAACUAAUUAGGUUAUGAAAAUAUGUUAAGAAAACCAAAUAAGAGAUCUUUUGUUAUUCAAAAAUCUUUGUAAUUUUACUCUCAACAGGAGAGUUAAUUUUGCUACU